CUUAAGAUGAUACUAUACAAUAGUUUUUUAAAAAACGGAAAAUCAUUAGAUAUUAUUGAUACUAUAUAUCAUACAGAAAUGAAUCGACAUACUGUAAACUUCCGAAUAUAAGCCCACCCAAAUAUAAGCCCACUCGAAUAUAAGCCCACCCGAAUAUAAGCCUACCCGAAUAUAAGCCCACUCGAAUAUAAGCCCACCCGAAUAUAAGCCCACCCGUGUAUAAGCCCGUAUAAAUGCUUACGAACGAAUAUAAGCCCACUAUAAGCUUAAAGAUAUUUAAAGAUUGAAUCACUUAAGAAUGUUCAAGCUCAUAAAAUCUUCAAUCCUCGCAACACAUUCAGUCAUUGAAUCCUAAGAUUAAUUGAGUUCUUGAAUCCUAGUAAGAUUAAGUGCUUGAAAUCCAGAAUCUUUAGACUGGAUACUUCAAUCGGAA